rnacentral:lncRNA from 1 species
GCGGUUUCGGUUUUCGGCGCGCGCGUCCGCGGAGGCCCGGCCUGUGAGGGCUCCGGAUCCCGCUGUAAGGAUUGUUAAAAAUGAGUCUGCGGAAGCAAACCCCUAGUGACUUCUUAAAGCAGAUCAUCGGGCGCCCAGUUGUGGUGAAAUUAAACUCUGGCGUGGAUUACCGAGUGCUGUACAUAAGUACACAGAAGAGGCGGAUGUGAAGACGCCAGGAGAGAGGCACUGCUCUUCAGCGAUGGAUAUAUGAUCACUCUUAUGAUCUUGGUGGCCUGUUUUUGUGGUGGCUGGUGGGGGUUUUGUUUUCUUUUGUUUUUUUAAUUGACAUCAGAAUAAGAUAGAGGUAUUACAUUACAGAUUGAAUCUUAAGCUUUUCACAUUUGUUUCAUUGCUUAUUAUUUCUGCCUGUACAGAUGCUAAAAUUAAAACAGUUUGUUUCUCAAGGAUUGUUUUACCUCAGGUUGCAAGCAGUGUCAUUUGUUGGUUGAGUACGCAUCCAACUGACUAAGCGGUACAUUCCGUGAUCAAGCCGUCUGGAGGCUUCCCUUGUCUCUUUCCCUGCUCACUCGCCAUCCAUAACAUUUAAAGCAGGUAGAUGAAAACCUUCUAGGAAGUCGUGUGGUUUCAGCCUUGUGCUAUAGAGAGACAAGAGGUCAGAAGUUGAGCUGUUGGUUUAGUCGCUGGUGCUGGUAUCCCCACAAGGAGUGCAGCUCUGUAGACCCUGUGGGCUUGUACAGGUUGGCCACAGCAGGUGAGAAGGUUGUUUGGAAUCCUCAAGCCGUCCUGCCGAUCCUCCUGUGCAGUUCAACUCUUUAUGUUAACUUGCUCCCUGACAAGAGUGUUGGCAGCAAUGGUAGGUUACUCCAAUCGAGGGGAGCUCAGCUGUCCCUCCGUCACUCUGGCCGUGCUUGAGGUGGUAUAAGCGCAGAGUCCCCGACCUCGGUUUCCAGGUGCUGAGCUGCUUUCUGUUUUAGCAGGUGGUCCUGGAGAGUGGUAUUCCGGAACAGGGUCGCUUGGCACAGGCAGAGCCUCCAGGUCAUGUGACUCCUGCUAAGUGCGUUGUGCUGUCUGUAGAGAUUGUGUUUGGGUGCUUCAGUUGCAUGGACACUGGGGCUUUUCUUAUCCCUCCUUCAAUCUAAACAGAAUCCCUGGCUCAGGAGGUGGGACAGUUUUGGAACAAUUGCCUGGCUGAGGGAAGUAAGAGAGAUGGGAAGCUAGGGAGGGAGGGAGGGCAUACUUUCUGGAGAGGUGCAUAUAUGCCAUUUGUCUCGUUUAACUAGUAAUCAGAAACAGUUAAUAACUCAGGAAAGACAAAAAAUGUUUUGUAAGGUUUGAUGGUGUGCACACUGAAAAUAAAACACUUUAUCCUAAGCUUCAGUAAUUCAUCACUUCCUGACAGGGGCUUGAAAAGGGACCAGUGUGUAAGUACAAAUCACCAAUUUGCUCUUUUAUAAAUGGCUUCUUUAAAGGAGAAAAUGGAUGUCUCUCAGAGUGGAGCACACAUGUUCUCAUUUGUUUUUAGAGUGUGUGAGGCUGCCAGGUUACUGUGUCCCUUCAUUCACUCACUCAGCCGCCCCUGAAAGCAGUUGUAGCAUCCCCCACCAGUCUGUAGCAUCCCGUCUUCGCUCAUUUCUUCCCUGACCUCUCCUCCAGCAUGUGGGCCUUUAUUUCCCUCUUGCCAUUUCUGGCUUAAUAGCUCGACUGCAGAAUGUUGUUUUCAUCCAUAGAACCGCUUUUAAUCAAGACCGACUUUGGGAACUGCUACCGUUUUUAUGGUAAUAAAGAACCAUAUGCAUCUGGACCAGCACAUGUUGUCCCCUGUGCAUACCUUCUUGUGAUAGAAUUCUGAAACAAAUUGUAAAUGCUAAAAUUACUUUUCCUUAACUGUAGUCUCCUCAUGGUCUGUGAAUGGUUUUUGGUUGGAUUGUAGCAAAGACAAUUGUUCUAGGGUGAAAAUUUUUUCACUUGAGUAAAUACAUUUUCCUUGUUCCUAUGCUCCCAAACCAUAGUUGCCACCAUCUUUCUCCUGGACUAUGACAAAACAGAAUGUCUGACAGGAAACAGAACUUGUGCUUGGUUUCUAGACGAUCUGCCUUCACAUUUUGUUUUGGUCUGUGAGCUUUUCCUUGGCUAGUCUUGCAGGCUGAAUCAAUUCUUACUUCAAAGUGUUUAUCCCAAACAGAGCCGUAGAGGAGCACAAAUACAGAUGGCGGCCAUGCGGUUGGAACCGUGUUCUCCUUCAGCCUGCAGGGAGGAUUCACAUCUCAGCGUCUUGUCUGAGGCCAUAUGUAAUGCACGCUAGGAUUCCGAGAUGCGACGGAUAGCAAGUGCUUCAGGGGUUUCCUCAAGGUCGAACCAGCAGCAUCGCCCUGGAGGCUCCAGCCAACUUCAUUAGACACGAGCUCAGGGAAGACUGUGGUGUUCACAGUGGCUCCCGUGUGACGCAUUCCAGGAGCCAGUCUGUCCCCUCACUGAGACUGGAGACAUGCCCACCUUUAAAGUGCCUUCUGCUUUGAGAGAAGAUGCUGGUCCAGAGUAUUGGCUUGCUGCUGUUGUGGGAAGAUCUCAACCAUGCUGUAGUCUUGGCAUUCUCACAGCCAGUCUACAGUUGCUAAGUUUUGUUUGUUUUUCCUGCCCCAAAACAACUAUUGGUGAAAAGAAGACAAACUUUGGCUUUCCCCUCACCUGACCUUCAACCCACCCUAGUCUAAUAAGGUGGCUUCUGACACCAGUGAGCCCACUUCUAAGAUUACAAGGCUAGGUGUGGUCUGAUCUGAAUAUCUAGCAGUGGCUUUAAUCCCUGUAGCUGCUGCCUUUUCUACUGGAUGUGGCAAGGCAGCCAUGAGGGCGUCCGUUGACCAGCCAGCCAUGACUCCACUGAAGUCUUGCCUAAAGGUCAGGAUGGACGUAUGCAUCCCUGUGUACAGGGCAAGAGACAGCCCCAAAUGAUGCUUACUUUGUCCUCCGCUUGCUUAGUGUCUUAGUUGGGUUUUACUGCUGUGCACAGACACCAUGACCAAGGCACCUCUUAAAAGGACAGCAUUUUCUUGGGGCUGGCUUACAGCUUCAGAGGUUCAGUCUAUUAUCAAGGUGGGAGCAUGGCAGCAUCCAGAUAGGCAUGGUGCAGGCAGAGCCGAGAGUUCUACCUCUUCAUCUGAAGGCUGACCUUCUGGCAACUAGGACAAGGGUCUUAGAGCCCACAACCUCAGUGACACACAGCCUGGCCACACCUACAAAUAGUGCCACUCCCUGGGCCAAACAUAUUCAAACCACCACAUUUUCUUUCUUGAAAAGUUAGUGGCGGUAACUAGGGAGGGGAUUUGAAGAAACAUCAGCCCCCGUUGAAUGGCAGCUGUGGGCAGGAUCUAUGUGAUACCCUAAUUAGUAAAUGAGACACUACCCACUAUGCACGAUGGGGUUCACUUGCAAGUCUGGCUAUUUAUGGGAGAAAGUAUGCCACACUGUCUUUAGAUGGGACAGGAUUUUGAAAAUAGUUUAUUAAUGCAUUUGGUGUCUCAGCUGUGUUCAUACCUUAAAAUUUCAGAUGAACUUGGAACUGGAAAACCUUGAGAUCUGACUAUUUCCAUCUAUUUGUUGAUGGAUCUGUUGGCUUCCUGUUUUUACACAUUUUUAUCUAUCCAGCAAAAGCCAGAUUUUCUGAUUUAACUAAAUUGCCAUGCUCUCUGCACCCCACCCUUUUACUCUCCAGUCUGAAUGCCAUCAUCUGCAGCAUUGAAGGAUU